rnacentral:rRNA from 1 species
AUGCCGCCGGCGGCCGGGGAGCUCGCCGGAGCUCGCGGGGGAGUGGAGGCGGAGAGGGUCUUCAUUGGCGCCGGGUGCAACCGUGUCGUGAACAAUGUCUCGUGGGGCGCCUGUGGUCUCGUCGCCUUCGGCGCCCAGAACGCCGUCGCCCUUUUCUCCCCUUCGAGAGGGGAGAUCGUGACGACGCUGCCGGGGCACAAGGCGGCGGUGAACUGCACGCUGUGGCUGCCAACCAAGAAGGAUGUACUCCAAGUUCAAAGCAGGGAGACACACUAUCUAUUGUCUGGAAGUUCUGAUGGUGCUAUUAUGGCAUGGAAGAUUGGUUCUGGAAUAGGCAAGUGGUCUCAUGUUUUGCAACUACCAGCCAUGCAUAAGAAAGGCGUCACCUGUCUUGCUGGAAGAAUGGUGUCGGAUAGGGUAUCAAUUUUCGCUUCCACCUCCUCAGAUGGUAUAGUGGUUAUUUGGGAAAUGGUGGUUGAGCCGACUGCUGAUGGCUCCUGCAAAGUGUCUUGUUUGCAUUCUCUUUCCGUUGGUUUAAAACCAAUGGUUUCACUUUCAUUAGUGGUGUUGCCGGAACAGGAAGGCCUAAUUUUAGCAAUGGGGGGAUUAGAUCAUAAGGUCCACAUAUAUUGUGGGGAUCAGUCAGGCAAGUUCAUUAAAGCCUGUGAACUUAAGGGCCAUUCUGACUGGAUUAGAAGUUUAGACUUUUCUUUACCUGUGAUGACGAGCAGUGAGAAACACAGCCUUUUUCUCGUUAGCUCGUCUCAGGACAAAACCAUUCGGAUAUGGAAGAUGACUUCAGAUGUGCAACAAAGGAAGGAUAAUAUUGGGAUGGCCUCCUACAUUGAAGGUCCUCUAUUUGUGGCAGGUAAUACAAGUUACCAGGUAUCAUUGGAGUCUCUUCUUGUUGGGCAUGAAGAUUGGGUAUAUUCAGUAGAGUGGCAGCCUCCUAGACUGCUACUUGGUGGUGAAGCUCAUCAGCCAAUGAGCAUAUUAUCUGCAUCUAUGGACAAGAUGAUGAUGAUAUGGAGGCCUGAAAAAAAUACCGGCCUUUGGAUAAAUUCAGUGACAGUUGGUGAAUUAAGUCACUCAGCACUUGGAUUUUAUGGUGGCCAUUGGGAACCUGAUGGUAAAUCAAUUCUUGCACAUGGCUAUGGUGGAUUUUUUCAUAUGUGGAGAGAUGUUGGACUGGAUUCGGAAAAUUGGCAGCCCCAGAUUGUCCCAUCUGGUCAUUUUGCACCCGUAUCUGACUUAACAUGGUCUAGAUCUGGCGAAUAUUUGCUAACAGUUAGCCAUGACCAGACAGCACGCAUAUUUGCUCCUUGGAGAAGUCAUGUUAACCCAGGAGAUGUGAUUUGUUGGCGCGAAAUUGCUCGCCCCCAAAUCCAUGGGCAUGACAUUAACUGUGUGGCAUUCAUUCAGGGUACAGGAAACCACCGGUUUGUUUGUGGUGCUGAUGAAAAGGUCUGUAGAGUCUUUGAAGCUACUUUAUCAUUCCUCAAGACCCUACAGGAAGCAACUUUGUUGAAACCUGACAAUGAGGAUUUUGACAAUGUGCAAGUCCUUGGAGCAAAUAUGUCUGCUCUUGGGCUUUCACAGAAACCUAUAUAUACACAUGGAAAGGAAUCCCCAAGCAGCGCUUCUAAUGAUGGUCCAGAUUCCAUGGAGACGAUUCCUGAUGCAGUGCCAACUGUGUUUACUGAGCCUCCUGUGGAGGACCAGCUUGCAUGGAAUACCUUAUGGCCUGAAUCUCACAAACUUUAUGGGCAUGGAAAUGAACUCUUUUCCAUCUGCUGUGAUCAUGCAGGGAAGCUCAUUGCAUCGUCGUGCAAGGCUCAAUCGGCACCAGUUGCUGAGAUCUGGCUCUGGGAAGUUGGAACAUGGAAAGCCGUUGGCCGCUUGCAGUCUCACAAUCUGACGGUUACGCAAAUGGAAUUUUCUUCUGACAAUGCUUUUCUUCUGAGUGUAUCAAGGGAUCGUCACUUGUCUGUCUUUUCGAUUAAGAAAACUGAGGAAGGGGCACAGCAUCACCUGGUUACAAAGCAUGAAGCGCACAAAAGAAUCAUAUGGGCAUGCUCGUGGAACCCAUUUGGGUACGAAUUUGCAACUGGUUCAAGGGACAAGACUGUCAAGAUAUGGUGUGUUCAAGAUGCAUCUUCCGUCAAGCUGCUCGCCACAUUGCCUCAGUUCCGUGAGAGUGUCACAGCAUUGGCCUGGACGGGCCGUGACCGUGCUCGUAAUGCCGGCAUUAUUGCUGUUGGCAUGGACAAUGGACUGAUCGAGCUCUGGAGUGUUUCAGGGGGGAGAGCUGCUUCAGACAGUAGCUCAGAUCCACCCCUCCUCAGCGUCGCAUGCAUGCUCCGGUUGGAUCCUCUGUUGUGUCAUGUGUCAACUGUGCACCGUUUGCGGUGGCAGAAACCCGACUCGGCUGAUGAGAAAGCAGCAAUCGAGCUGGCUUCUUGUGGAUCUGAUCACUGCGUCAGGGUGUUUGCAGUGCGUGAUACUUGA